CCUACGGGAGGCAGCAGUGAGGAAUAUUGGUCAAUGGACGAGAGUCUGAACCAGCCAAGUAGCGUGAAGGAUGACUGCCCUAUGGGUUGUAAACUUCUUUUAUAAAGGAAUAAAACGAGGCACGUGUGCCUUUUUGCAUGUACUUUAUGAAUAAGGAUCGGCUAACUCCGUGCCAGCAGCCGCGGUAAUACGGAGGAUCCGAGCGUUAUCCGGAUUUAUUGGGUUUAAAGGGAGCGUAGAUGGGUUGGUAAGUCAGUUGUGAAAGGUUGCGGCUCAACCGUAAAAUUGCAAUUGAUACUGGCAGUCUUGAGUACAGUUGAGGUAGGCGGAAUUCGUGGUGUAGCGGUGAAAUGCUUAGAUAUUACGAAGAACCCCGAUUGCGAAGGCAGCUUACUAAACUGUGACUGACAUUGAUGCUCGAAAGUGUGGGUAUCAAACAGGAUUAGAUACCCGAGUAGUC
rnacentral:rRNA from 1 species